AACCCUAUAGAAGCCCUUAAUUUCCUCUUUUGUCAAAUCCUUUCAAACCCUAGCUGCCUACCACCACCCCUACCAGUGCACAACCCCAAAUCCACCCAAACUCCCACCAUACAAUCUCUCUAUCAUCUCCCCAUGACUAUCCCACUGUUAAUUUUUGCUAAAAACUCACUUAAUCUCUCAAAUUUCAAAUCUCAAAACCAAACCCUAGCUGCCAUGCAAUCUGUCUUCAUGACCUCAAACAAUCCGUCCUCUUUUAUGGUUGAGACUCACAUUAGCAGAAAGCUCUUUACAAGAGAUGUCCACUGAUGUGAGUUUCAUCCCAUUUCUCGGAAGUCACGUUUUAGUUAGCUGGCUGUUGGCCGGCCAAUUCUUCUGGAAGGUUUUCUCUACCAUAUUAAUAGAGCUUCAAUAGUAGCCUACUCAUUUCUGAUAACAAAUGUCUUCCAUGAUAAUUGUUGAUAUUCAACCCAGGAGUUUUCGAGCUUGGAGUAAUUAUGUUUACGUGUGGUAAAGUCAGAUUAAGCUGUAAAAGAAGUUGUAGUAUUGAUUUUAUUAGGAUGAACAAUGUUAUAAUAAUUCAUUUUUACUAUUAUUUCGUUGUUCCUUCUUAGUUCCACUACAACUGAUUAUGUUGUGAUAAUCAUCAGGGGGAGGGAUAUUAAUAUUGUCUCCAAUCAUUGAUUCAUAUGGAUAUGUAGCUAUUAGUUUAAAAUUCCUAUACCAAAUUAAGUUUUUUUA